rnacentral:rRNA from 1 species
CCUACGGGAGGCAGCAGUGGGGAAUAUUGGACAAUGGGCGAAAGCCUGAUCCAGCCAUGCCGCGUGUGUGAAGAAGGUCUUCGGAUUGUAAAGCACUUUAAGUUGGGAGGCGUUACCGACAGAAUAAGCACCGGCUAACUCUGUGCCAGCAGCCGCGGUAAUACAGAGGGUGCAAGCGUUAAUCGGAAUUACUGGGCGUAAAGCGCGCGUAGGUGGUUAGUUAAGUUGGAUGUGAAAUCCCCGGGCUCAACCUGGGAACUGCAUUCAAAACUGACUGACUAGAGUAUGGUAGAGGGUGGUGGAAUUUCCUGUGUAGCGGUGAAAUGCGUAGAUAUAGGAAGGAACACCAGUGGCGAAGGCGACCACCGGGACGAACUGACACUGAGGUGCGAAAGCGUGGGGAGCAAACAGGAUUAGAUACCCUAGUAGUC